rnacentral:rRNA from 1 species
GACGUAGGGCGCGAGCGUUGUCCGGAUUUAUUGGGCGUAAAGAGCUCGUAGGCGGCUUGUCGCGUCGUCCGUGAAAACCUGCAGCUCAACUGCAGGCUUGCGGUCGAUACGGGCAGGCUGGAGUUCGGUAGGGGAGACUGGAAUUCCUGGUGUAGCGGUGAAAUGCGCAGAUAUCAGGAAGAACACCCGUGGCUAAGGCGGCUCUCUAGUACGGUACUGACGCUGAGACGCGAAAGCGUGGGGAGCGAACAGG